ensembl:lincRNA
GGGAUCCUGUCUCUGGCUCCCGCAGUUAAGAUUACAUGUUCUAUGACAUUACUACAUUCAGCUUUUUACCUGGGUGCUGAGGCUUGAACCAGAAUCCUCAUGCUUUCCCAGUAGCACCUCCACCAGCUAAGCUGCAGCCAGCCCUUCAUUGCAGUCUUAUGAGACAGCUGUCAUUUACCAAAUCGUAGUUAGUUACUCGGCUGCACCAGGAAUCGUAUCACCCAGAGCAUAAUGACAUAAACACACAACUUCAGACAAGAUGGACAAGAAAAGCAGGAGUUUGGCUCUGUUCCACAGUGUUGGGGACUCAGCUAGAAGGCUCUGAGGCUGGCUGGCACCAAGGGAUGGAAAUGAAUUAUUCUCAAUAUAAAUACAACAGAGGGACUAGAGAGAUGGUUCAGCAAUUAAGAGUGCAUCCUGCUCUUACAGAGGACCUGAGUUAGGGUCCCUAGCACCCACUCCAGGCAGCACACGACCACCUGUAAUUCUAGCUCCAGGGAGUUCAACAUCCUCUACUGACUUCAGUGGGCACCUGCACUCACACACAUCCCCAGCACUGACACACACAACUACAAAAAAAAAAGAAAAGAAAAGAAAAAGCUUAGCUAGUUAAGAUGGCACACACCCCCUUAAUCCUAGCACUUAGAAGGCAGAGGCAGGCAAAUGUCUGUGAGUUCCUGGACAGCCUGGUCUACAUAGAGUGCUCCAGAAGAGCCAGGACUAAAUAGCGAAGGUCUAUGUUUAAAAAUAUAAUAAAUGUAUAAGUAAAAAUUUUAAAUAGAAUAUUUUAUUUUAUGUGUACGUGCUUUGCCUUCAUUCAUGUAUGUGUACCAUAUGUGUGCCUGGUGCCCACAGAGGCCAUAAGAAGGUGCUGGGUUCCCUAGAACUAUAGUCACAGACAGUUGUGAGCUGCCAAGUGGGAGCUAGGACUCAAACCUAGGUUCUCUAGAAAAGCAGCCAGUGCUCUUAAUCAUUGACAUAUCUCUCCAACACCUAAAAAAUAAAAAUGUAAACAAGUUUCUUUUGUUGUUGUUGUUUGGGUUUUUUUGUUUGUUUAUGGUUAUUUUGUGACAGAGUUUCUCUGUUUAACAGCUCUAGCUGUCCUGGAACUCUGUCUGUAGGCCAGGCUGGCCUCAAACUCACAAAGAUCCACCUCCCCCUGCCCCCGACUGCUGGGAUUAGAAGUGUGCACCACCACCUCCUGACAUAAUCAAGACCUAGGUGACCACAUACCUGCAGAUUGUGCCAGCUGCUGGCCAGGGUCCCUCAUCUGCAUCCCUUCCAUCUGCAGCUCUCUGUGCAUCUCUGGUUUUAGGCUAGAUGGGACUCACUCAUAGUGUGGUGGUAAUUGUAAUCCAUGUGUUAUAUCUUGGAUAGUAAAUGUCUAUCAAAG